UACAGAGGGGGCAAGCGUUGUUCGGAAUUACUGGGCGUAAAGGGCGCGUAGGCGGCCUUCUAAGUCGAACGUGAAAUCCCCGGGCUCAACCCGGGAACUGCGUCCGAUACUGGAAGGCUUGAAUCCGGGAGAGGGAUGCGGAAUUCCAGGUGUAGCGGUGAAAUGCGUAGAUAUCUGGAGGAACACCGGAUGGCGAAGGCGAAUCCCUGGACC
rnacentral:rRNA from 1 species